rnacentral:ncRNA from 1 species
UCUUAUCAAGAGAGGUGGAGGGACUGGCCCUAUGAAGCCCGGCAACAACCAGUUUAAACUGGAAAUGUGCCAAUUCCUGCAGCCAUUGGCUGAAAGAUAAGA